AGAACGAACGCUGGCGGCAGGCCUCAAACAUGCAAGUCUAGGGGAUGUAGCAAUACAUCACCGGCGGACGGGUGCGUAACGCGUGGGAAUGUACCUAUUGGUUCGGAACAACACAGGGAAACUUGUGCUAAUACCGGAUGAGCCCGAAAGGGGAAAGAUUUCUCGCCAAUAGAUCAGCCCGCGUCCGAUUAGCUAGUUGGUGGGGUUAAAGCCUACCAAGGCGACGAUCGGUAGCUGUUCUGAGAGGAAGAUCAGCCACACUGGGACUGAGACACGGCCCAGACUCCUACGGGAGGCAGCAGUUGGGAAUCUUGGACAAUGGGGGAAACCCUGAUCCAGCCAUGCCGCGUGAGUGAUGAAGGCCUUGGGUUGUAAAACUCUUUCGACGGGACGAUAAUGACGGUACCCGUAGAAGAAGCUCCGGCUAACUUCGUGCCAGCAGCCGC
rnacentral:rRNA from 1 species